AGAGUUUGAUCCUGGCUCAGAUUGAACGCUGGCGGUAUGCUUUACACAUGCAAGUCGAACGGAUUAUGGAGCUUGCUCCAUAGUUAGUGGCGAACGGGUGAGUAAUAUAUCGGAACAUAUCCGGAAGUGGGGGAUAACGUAGCGAAAGUUACGCUAAUACCGCAUAUGCCCUGAGGGGGAAAGGGGGGGAUCGCAAGACCUCUCGCUUUCGGAGUGGCCGAUAUCGGAUUAGCUAGAUGGUGAGGUAAAGGCUCACCAUGGCGACGAUCCGUAGCUGGUCUGAGAGGACGACCAGCCACACUGGAACUGAGACACGGUCCAGACUCCUACGGGAGGCAGCAGUGGGGAAUAUUGGACAAUGGGCGAAAGCCUGAUCCAGCAAUACCGCGUGUGUGAAGAAGGCCUUCGGGUUGUAAAGCACUUUCAAUUGGGAGGAAAACCUACCGGUCAAUACCCGGUAGCUUGACAUUACCUUUAGAAGAAGCACCGGCUAACUCCGUGCCAGCAGCCGCGGUAAUACGGAGGGUGCGAGCGUUAAUCGGAAUUACUGGGCGUAAAGCGUGCGUAGGUGGUUCGUUAAGUCAGAUGUGAAAGCCCUGGGCUCAACCUGGGAACGGCAUUUGAAACUGGCGGACUUGAGUUUAGUAGAGGGGAGUGGAAUUUCAGGUGUAGCGGUGAAAUGCGUAGAUAUCUGAAGGAACACCAGUGGCGAAGGCGACUCCCUGGACUAAAACUGACGCUGAGGUACGAAAGCGUGGGUAGCAAACAGGAUUAGAUACCCUGGUAGUCC
rnacentral:rRNA from 1 species